CCUACGGGAGGCAGCAGUGGGGAAUAUUGGGCAAUGGGCGCAAGCCUGACGCAGCAACGCCGCGUGAAGGAAGAAGGCUUUCGGGUUGUAAACUUCUUUUCUCAGGGACGAAACAAGUGACGGUACCUGAGGAAUAAGCCACGGCUAACUACGUGCCAGCAGCCGCGGUCAUACGUAGGUGGCAAGCGUUAUCCGGAUUUACUGGGUGUAAAGGGCGUGUAGGCGGGACUGCAAGUCAGAUGUGAAAACCACGGGCUCAACCUGUGGCCUGCAUUUGAAACUGUAGUUCUUGAGUACUGGAGAGGCAGACGGAAUUCCUAGUGUAGCGGUGAAAUGCGUAGAUAUUAGGAGGAACACCAGUGGCGAAGGCGGUCUACUGGACAGCAACUGACGCUGAGGCGCGAAAGCGUGGGGAGCAAACAGGAUUAGAUACCCGUGUAGUC
rnacentral:rRNA from 1 species